GGGCACCCCACACUAUCCUACCCGCACCCCAACACCAUGAGUUCCCCAAAAGGGAGUAGAUGGCAGUGCUGGUGGUACCCCAGCAUCCCAUCCAGCAUGAGGACAGAGUGACAUGGGAGGCUGCACCAGGGCAGGCAGCCUGGAGGGGAUGGGGGACGGGGGGGUGGCUGUGUCCCGGGGCUCACCUUUAGGUUUUGGAACUCCUUCUCCUCCUCUUUGAGCACCUCGAGCUGCUUCAGCACCGAGUCCUGCUGGAACUCACCCCGGUCCAUCUGGGGAAGGAGCGGGCAGACGUCAGCACCCCGAGUGCCUGUGUUGGUCCCUCUGCUCCGGACCAGGGGGCUCAGCCAGAGCUGUGGCUGCAAAGCACUCUGAUCCCUGCCCAGAGAAACCACCACCUCUCUUUUUCCUUUAUUUUCCCUCUUUUUCUACAUUCUCAUCCUUUCCUCCCAGUCUGAACCUGGCUGCUCAACAACUUAAAAAAAAAAGAAAAAAGAGAAAAAAAAAUCCCAGCUGGCUUUUUGGCAUAGACCUGGUGCCAUAAUUAAUGUGAAAGCCUUGAUUACUUUUUUCUUAAUCCCCAACUUUGGCUCUUCUCAAAACAUGUGAGUCCCAGAGGGUUCUGCUCCGUGCUGACGUGGGCUGUGCUGCGCCGGGAUCCUGCACCUCUCCACCUCAUUACUUCCUCUUUUGAAGGCUGACCACAAUCGGAGGCAAGCUCGCAUCGAUCGCAUCGCUCCGGCCACUGGAAUUCGGGCACGGAGCCCCAGUGCUGUGCCCCAGAGGGCUCACUCUCCUGGUUUUAUUUUUUUCCCCUUUUUAAAAAGGUAAGUGGUUGUGGAAAUGUACCCUCCAG
rnacentral:lncRNA from 1 species